GGGAGGUAGUGACAAUAAAUAACAAUAUAGGGCUCUUUCGGGUCUUAUAAUUGGAAUGAGUACAAUUUAAAUCUCUUAACGAGGAACAAUUGGAGGGCAAGUCUGGUGCCAGCAGCCGCGGUAAUUCCAGCUCCAAUAGCGUAUAUUAAAGUUGUUGCAGUUAAAAAGCUCGUAGUUGAAUUUCGGGGUUAGUAGGUUGGUCAUGCCUCUGGUAUGUACUGGUCUCACUGAUUCCUCCUUCCUGAUGAACCGUAAUGCCAUUAAUUUGGUGUUGCGGGGAAUUUGGACUGUUACUUUGAAAAAUUAGAGUGUUUAAAGCAAGCUAACGCUUGAAUACAUUAGCAUGGAAUAAUGAAAUAGGACGUUCGAUCCUAUUUUGUUGGUCUAGGACCACCGUAAUGAUUAAUAGGGAUAGUUGGG
rnacentral:rRNA from 1 species